AAAAAGGCUCUACAGAGCCACAAAGAGUUCCAAUGAUAGAUUGG
rfam:Ailuropoda melanoleuca scaffold954_17, whole genome shotgun sequence.